rnacentral:rRNA from 1 species
GACGAACGCUGGCGGCGUGCUUAACACAUGCAAGUCGAACGGAAAGGCCCUGCUUUUGUGGGGUUCUCGAGUGGCGAACGGGUGAGUAACACGUGAGUAACCUGCCCUUGACUUUGGGAUAACUUCAGGAAACUGGGGCUAAUACCGGAUAGCAGCUCCUGCUGCAUGGUGGGGGUUGGAAAGUUUCGGCGGUUGGGGAUGGACUCGCGGCUUAUCAGCUUGCUGGUUGGGUAGUUGCAUACCAAGGCUGUGGCGGGUAGCCGGCCGGGGAGGGUGACCGGGCACAAGGGGCCUGCGAGACGGCCCAGACUGCUACGGGAGGCAGUGGGGGGGAAUAUUGCACAGUGGGCGGACGCGUGAUGAAGAGACGCCGGGGGCGGAAUGACGGCCUUCGGGUUGUAAACCGCUUUCGCUUGUGACGAAGCGGUAGUGACGGUAACGGGUGAAGAAGCACCGGCUAACUACGUG